AGGAUGAACGCUAGCUACAGGCUUAACACAUGCAAGUCGAGGGGUAACAUGAUAGAAGCUUGCUUUAUUGAUGACGACCGGCGCACGGGUGAGUAACGCGUAUCCAACCUUCCCUAUACUAGAGGAUAGCCCGGCGAAAGUCGGAUUAAUACUCUAUGUUGUUCGAUGCGGACAUCUAAAUUGAACCAAAGGUUUACCGGUAUAGGAUGGGGAUGCGUCUGAUUAGGUUGUUGGCGGGGUAACGGCCCACCAAGCCAGCGAUCAGUAGGGUUCUGAGAGGAAGGUCCCCCACAUUGGUACUGAGACACGGACCAAACUCCUACGGGAGGCAGCAGUGAGGAAUAUUGGUCAAUGGGCGAGAGCCUGAACCAGCCAAGUAGCGUGCAGGAUGACGGCCCUAUGGGUUGUAAACUGCUUUUGCCGGGGAAUAAAGUGCAGUACGUGUACUGUUCUGUAUGUACCCGGAGAAUAAGGACCGGCUAAUUCCGUGCCAGCCGCCGC
rnacentral:rRNA from 1 species